ensembl:lncRNA
AUGGCUCUCACCUCUGGGCUGGACACAGCGUACUGUAAGUACAGGGUUCGCUCUAUUCCUCCUCGUGUUAUUCACUCUCUCUCUCCUUUUCUCUCCACAGGUAUCAACUUGGGCACAAUAGCACAGUUAGUUUGCUUUGAAUGGCUCUCACCUCUGGGCUGGACACAGCGUACUGUAAGUACAGGGUUCGCUCUAUUCCACCUCGUGUUAUUCACUCUCUCUCCUUUUCUCUCCACAGGCAUCAACUUGGGCACACUAGCACAGUUAGUUUGCUUUGAAUGGCUCUCACCUCUGGGCUGGACACAGCGUACUGUAAGUACAGGGUUCGCUCUAUUCCUCCUCGUGUUAUUCACUCUCUUUCCUUUCCUCUCCACAGGUAUCAACUUGGACGCAAAGCACAGUUACUCUGCUUUGGAUGGCUUUCACCUCUGGGCUGGACACAGCGUACUGUAAGUACAGGGUUCGCUCUAUUCCUCCUCGUGUUAUUCACUCUCUUUCCUUUCCUCUCCACAGGUAUCAACUUGGACGCAAAGCACAGUUACUCUGCUUUGGAUGGCUUUCACCUCUGGGCUGGACACAGCGUACUGUGCUAUCUCCGGAGAUCUGAAGCACGCUCACAACAUAUACUGUACUGAACUAGGCUAGGACCAGCAGUCUCCUUGUCCUCCCGCGACGAAGUGCGUGAAGGCGGGGGUUUAUCUGACAGGACACACGGCAAUACACAGCAGCCCACAGCAAUAUACAGCACCACGUCAAAAUUAUAGGUUUUCACAGCAUGAAGACUCACCCACCACACUCAGUGUACGAAAAGGACACCCGUCUUCCUUCACUUCGCUUGGUUCGGAUCUGGCGAUGGAAUAUGCGGCCUAGCUAGUGAUGUCGUCGUUGUGACUACUUCAAUAAGUAUUCCUUCGGCUCUCCCACCACGCUAUAUUAGGGGUAGGGCCGCCCUCCUCCUCCUGGAGAGAUCUACACAACGCCAGGUCAAUAUACAGGGCACUUUCGACUGGCUCUUAGUACUCACAUCAAUGCCGCUUCCAAUCCCCUUUUUCACGUCGUCUCAGUUCGCCGUAUAAUCCGUUCACUUCUCAACCUUUAAGGUUCGCGAUGUCUUCACAAUCAUACAAUUCCAGCCUGAGGGAGAGAGAGAGUUAGACAGCCACCAGCAGCGCACCAAGACGGGCACAACACAGUGCUUCACACACACCAGAAAGAGCACCCAGACUGUGAAAUAACUUGGCCUUAAGUACUGCCUUGUCCAGCGUAUCCUCCAAUCACCAACCGCUGUCCCUAACUAGGCACAGGUGCAUCGAAUUCCCUGAUUUUCCUUCUUACGGCGCUACCGGAAGUUCCGGUGUUCUGUUUUUCCGGUCCGGGCGGAAACACUUCCGGGCGGAACCAAACUUCCCGAAUUUUGGUUCCGCCCCUAAAGAUCGUCACCUUGUGACAAUUAUUUUUAUAUACUUUUUGAAACCCUGUCUCUGUCGUUUUUUCUAACUGGUUAUUUCUGAUGUUAUUAGUUUACUGUGAAUGUAAUAAUACAUGUAAAAAAAAAACCAUACACAUUUCAUUUAUGUUGCAUUUUAAUAUGUUGCAUUUACAGUAAAUUAGUAAUACUGUGAAAUAUUGUUUCAAUGUAAAAUGUAAUUUAUUCCUGUGAUGCAAAGCUGAAUUUUUAGCAUCAUUACUCCAGUCUUCGGUGUGACAUGAUCCUUCAGAAAUCAUUCACACACACACACUGGGAGCACAGGAACAAAGGAGCGAGGAGAUGAGGAAUAAAGUAAAUUUCAAAGUUUUUAAUAAACA